rnacentral:rRNA from 1 species
UACGUAGGGGGCUAGCGUUGUCCGGAUUUAUUGGGCGUAAAGAGCGUGUAGGCGGCCAGGUAGGUCUGCUGUGAAAACUCGAGGCUUAACCUCGAGAUGUCGGCGGAAACCAUCUGGCUAGAGUCCGGAAGAGGAGAGUGGAAUUCCUGGUGUAGCGGUGAAAUGCGCAGAUAUCAGGAGGAACACCGGUGGCGAAGGCAGGUCUCUGGGCCACUACUGACGCUGAGAAGCGAAAGCAUGGGGAGCGAACAGG